UGGUGCCUACGGGGCGCAGCAGUGGGGGAUAUUGCACAAUGGGGGAAACCCUGAUGCAGCGACGCCGCGUGAGUGAAGAAGUAUUUCGGUAUGUAAAGCUCUAUCAGCAGGGAAGAAAAUGACAGUACCUGACCAAGAAGCCCCGGCUAACUACGUGCCAGCAGCCGCGGUAAUACGUAGGGGGCAAGCGUUAUCCGGAUUUACUGGGUGUAAAGGGAGCGUAGACGGUUAUGUAAGUCUGAUGUGAAAGCCUUCGGCUUAACCGGAGUAGUGCAUUGGAAACUGGGAGACUUGAGUGCAGAAGA
rnacentral:rRNA from 1 species